GACGAACGCUGGCGGCGUGCUUAACACAUGCAAGUCGAACGGAAAGGCCCUGCUUUUGUGGGGUGCUCGAGUGGCGAACGGGUGAGUAACACGUGAGUAACCUGCCCUUGACUUUGGGAUAACUUCAGGAAACUGGGGCUAAUACCGGAUAGGAGCUCCUGCUGCAUGGUGGGGGUUGGAAAGUUUCGGCUGUUGGGGAUGGACUCGCGGCUUAUCAGCUUGUUGGUGGGGUAGUGGAUUACCAAGGCUUAGACGGGUAGGCGGCCUGGGAGGGUGGCCAGCGACAUGACGCCUACGGGAGGCAGCAGACUGGUAUAUUAGGCAGCAGGGGGAAACAUGGUACAGUGAGCGCGCGUGUGAUGAAGAAACGCUGGGUGCGUGAUGACCGCUUUUGGGUAGAGAACCGCAUCCGGUUGUUACGAAGCGUUUGUGACGGUAAUGGAAGAAGAAGCACCGGCUAACUACGUG
rnacentral:rRNA from 1 species